rnacentral:lncRNA from 1 species
AUGAUCCUACUGGGGAAGCACAUUUUAGAUAAUUUUCCCAAAUGUCUUUAUAGGUUAUACUUCCAGAGAACCUGUUGCAACACAGCGUACAGAGACCACUGUCACUUGGGAUUCACCAGGUUAUAUUUCCAGAGAACCUGUUGCAACACAGCGUACAGAGACCACUGUCACUUGGGAUUCACCAGGUUAUAUUUCCAGAGAACCUGUUGCAACACAGCGUACAGAGACCACUGUCACUUGGGAUUCACCAGGUAAGUUACCAACCAAAGGAGAUGGGUAAUAGAUUUCCAGCCAUUAGUAUCAUAUCUGUGUAUUUAAUAAGCACCUAUCUGUGUGAUAUUCUAUGAUACAUGAGUCAAAUUAAAGCAACAACACCGAAAAGAAACAUUGCCAGGUUAAUUCUGGCUCUUGGAAUUGGGGUAAUUUUUUUCUGCUAUUUCAGUUCAGUUCAAUUCAGUCAUUCAGUUGUGUCCAACUCUUUGCGACCCCAUGAAUUGCAGCACGCCAGGCCUCCCUGUCCAUCACCAACUCCCGGAGUUCACCCAGAC